GUCGGGUAAGUUCCGACAUGCACGAUUGGCGUAACGAUUGCCUCACUGUCUCCACCAGAGACUCAGUGAAUUUGAAUUCGCUGUGAAGAUGCAGUGUACCCGCGGUUAGACGGAAAUACCCCGUGAACCUUUACUAUAGCGUUGCACUUGACUUUGAAUAUUUAUGUGUCGGAUAGGUGGGAGACCAUGAAGCAGCUACGACAGUAGUUGUGUAGUCGUCAGUGAAAUACCAACC
rnacentral:rRNA from 1 species